GUUGUGGCUCAGUGGUAGAGUGCUUGCCUAGCACGUGUGCGGCCCUGGGUUUGAUCCUCAGCACACA
rnacentral:tRNA from 1 species